rnacentral:rRNA from 1 species
CAGUAGCCACGGUAAUACGUAGGUGGCAAGCGUUGUCCGGAAUUAUUGGGCGUAAAGGGCUCGCAGGCGGACAGUUCAGUCAGGGGUGAAAGCCCGGGGCUCAACCUCGGAAUUGCCUUCGAUUCUGGCUGUCUUGAGUAUGAGAGAGGUGUGUGGAACUCCGAGUGUAGAGGUGAAAUUCGUAGAUAUUCGGAAGAACACCAGUGGCGAAGGCGACACACUGGCUCAUUACUGACGCUGAGGCGCGAAAGCGUGGGGAGCAAACAGGAUUAGAUACCCCGGUAGUCCCUGUCUCUUAUAC